CCUACGGGUGGCAGCAGUAGGGAAUUUUCGUCAAUGGGCGCAAGCCUGAACGAGCGAUGCCGCGUGAGUGAAGAAGGCCUUCGGGUCGGAAAGCUCUGUUGCGGGGGAAAUAAGACAGCAUCCGGAAAUGGGUGCUGACUUAUGGUGCCCCGCCAGACAGUCACGGCUAAAUACGUCCCAGCAGCCGCGGUAAUACGUAGGUGGCGAGCGUUAUCCGGAAUGAUUGGGAGGAAGGGGUGCGCAGGCGGUCCUGCAAGUCUGUAGUGAAACGCAUGGGCUCAACUGAUACAUGGCUUUUGAAACUGGCAGACUGGAGAGCAGGAGAGGGCGGUGGAACUCCAUGUGUAGCGGUAAAAUGCGUAGAUAUAUGGAAGAACACCAGUGGCGAAGGCGGCCGCCUGGCCUGUUGCUGACGCUGAGGCACGAAAGCGUGGGGAGCAAAUAGGAUUAGAUACCCGUGUAGUC
rnacentral:rRNA from 1 species